AUGCAAGUGUUCUUGCAGCUUGGACUCGGUCUCGUAUUGCUUGCAGCACAGUAUGCACCUGGAAUUGCGGUUCCUAGUUCAGAUUGCCGAAGGCAGUGUGGUACCGUUGAGAUACCGUACCCAUUCGGUAUCGACCCGGGCUGCUCGCUCGCAGAAGGCUUCGACCUCAGUUGCAAGGUCCAAGAUGGCGUCCAAAAGCCGUUCAGGGGUGCCUUUGAGGUGCUCGACAUUUCUUUGACUCAAGGCACGGCCCGGGUGCUUAAUUACAUCCUAGGGUACUGCUACAACACCUCCACAGGGAGCAUGGAGUAUUUUGGCCGAUAUGCGGGGUUCAACGAAGGAGAUCCUUCUUCUCCCUACCGGCUCUCCGACGUCCAGAACAGGUUCACGGUCAUCGGGUGCAACGCCCUCGUCUUGAUAUACGACUAUGAUGCCACAGGCUACCAGGGCUUGGGCGUCGCAACAUGCCGCAAUUUGUCUGACUUGGUGGACGGAUCCUGCUCCGGCAUGGGCUGCUCCCAGACUGCAAUACCAAAGAGGAUGUACUACUACGACAUAGCCUUCGCCGAAGCGGUCAACACAACUGAAACCUGGGAGUUCAACCGUUGUAGCUAUGCGGUACUGAUGGAGGCCGCGGCGUUCAAGUUCAGCACUGCAUACGUAAACACAAAUAAGUUCAAUGAAACAUAUGAUGGACGGGUGCCAAUGGUUCUUGACUGGGCUAUGAGAGAUGUGAAGUCAUGUGAUGCUGCAGAACAGAAUAAGACCGGCACUUAUACAUGCCUCAGCAGCAACAGCAAAUGCGUGAAUUCCACCAAUGAUCAAGGUUACAUGUGUAAUUGCACCGAUGGUUAUGAAGGCAACCCUUAUCUUCGAGAUGGAUGCAAAGGUAACGAUUAACUUUGAGUGCCAAUGUAUAUAGGAGUAUGUACUAACGCCCAUAAUACCGCACCUUGCAUGUGGAGGUCCCUUUAUCUCACUUACUAAAACUCUAAUAUUUGGUUUUGCUAUUUUUUUUCUGCAGAUGUUAAUGAAUGCAAUCACAACCCAUGCCCUUCAGAUGGUUUUUGUCGCAAUAUCGUUGGAGAAUACCAGUGUUCUUGUGGACUUGGGAAAAAAUAUGUCAAAGAAAGCAAUACAUGCAACGCUAAUAUUGUCUUAACAAUAGGAGUUGCAAUGGGAAUAUUCGGCCUAAUGGUUAUCAUCAUGUUCACUGUUUUUUGCGGGCAGAUUAUAAUGCAAAAGAGAAAAUUGCAAAAAGUUAAGCAGGAGUACUUUCAUCAGCAUGGAGGCUUGCUUUUGUUUGACAAGAUGAAAUCAGAAAAGGGUCUUGCUUUCAAUGUAUUUUCAGAAGCUGAACUCAUACAUGCAACUGACAACUUCGACAGUAGUAGGAUACUUGGAAAAGGAGGCCAUGGAACCGUCUAUAAAGGGAUACUAAAGAACAUGCCUGUUGCAAUUAAAAGAUGUGCAAUAGUUGACGAAAGACAAAAGAAGGAAUUUGGCCAGGAGAUGCUUAUUUUGUCCCAAAUCAAUCACAAGAACAUUGUCAAACUCUUGGGUUGUUGCCUUGAGGUGGAAGUUCCAAUUCUAGUAUAUGAGUUUGUCCUAAACGGUACACUAUUCGAGCUUAUCCAUGGCAAGAACCAAGCAUUGCAAAUAUCGUUCAACACUCUCUUAAGGAUUGCUCAUGAAGCAGCCGAAGGACUCAACUUUCUGUAUUCAUAUGCGUCUCCCCCAAUAAUUCACGGUGAUGUAAAAACUUCCAACAUCCUGCUCGAUGAUAACUAUAUGGCCAAAGUGUCAGACUUUGGAGCUUCCAUACUAGCACCAUCUGACAAAGAGCAGUUUGUCACAAUGGUUCAAGGUACUUGUGGUUACCUUGACCCCGAAUACAUGCAAACAUGUCAGUUAACAGACAAGAGUGACGUAUACAGCUUCGGAGUUAUCCUUUUAGAGAUCCUCACAGGCCAGUUGCCAUUGAAGCUCGAGGGGUCUGAAAAGCAAAGAAGCUUGUCAUUGAUUUUCCUAUCUGCUAUGAAGGACAAUAAUCUAGAUUCUGUGUUGGUGAGUCACGUGAAAGGUCAAGAGAGCAUGGAGUUACUGAGAGGACUUGCAGACCUAGCUAAAAAAUGCUUAGAUAUGUGUGGUGAAAAUAGGCCAUCUAUGAAAGAGGUCGCCGAUGAGCUCAAUAGAUUGAGAAAACUUUCAUUACAUCCUUGGGCACGACUCGACGUCGAGACGGAUGCUGAAAACCUUCUCGGAGGAGAAUCUACUAGUGGGUAUGAAAUAGAAUUAAGUGGGUAUCCUACGGGUGAAAGUGAGGACCUACCCAUAAACCCAAGAAGUUCAUAUUAUGCAAGGUGA
rnacentral:rRNA from 1 species